rnacentral:rRNA from 1 species
GAACGCUGGCGGCAUGCCUUACACAUGCAAGCCGAACGGCAGCACGGGAGCAAUCCUGGUGGCGAGUGGCGAACGGGUGAGUAAUAUAUCGGAACGUGCCCAGUCGUGGGGGAUAACGUAGCGAAAGCUACGCUAAUACCGCAUACGAUCUACGGAUGAAAGCGGGGGAUCGCAAGACCUCGCGCGAUUGGAGCGGCCGAUAUCAGAUUAGGUAGUUGGUGAGGUAAAGGCUCACCAAGCCGACGAUCUGUAGCUGGUCUGAGAGGACGACCAGCCACACUGGGACUGAGACACGGCCCAGACUCCUACGGGAGGCAGCAGUGGGGAAUUUUGGACAAUGGGCGCAAGCCUGAUCCAGCAAUGCCGCGUGCAGGAUGAAGGCCUUCGGGUUGUAAACUGCUUUUGUACGGAACGAAACGGUGAGCUCUAAUACAGUUUGCUAAUGACGGUACCGUAAGAAUAAGCACCGGCUAACUACGUG